UUAUGGCAAAGUUAUUUUGUUGUUGUUGUUAUCUUAUCAUUUACCAAGCUUGUUUCUUGACUUAGAACAUUAUGGUCUAUUUGAGUUCCACUCCCCUGGGGAUGGAGAGACAUUGUCUCGAACUUUAGGCUUUUAUGUGCUUCUGUUUUUAGAGAUCAUUUGAGGGUCUGCAAGUUUUCAGUGUUUCCAAGGUGUGGUGAGAUGUAUGGUAACUUCUCUCCUGGUCUGCAUCCUGGUCUUCCCUCUGCUCUCUUGCAACCACCACAGCAGGCCCUUCCCAAUCAGGACAGGCACAGAUUCCCCUAACAGACUACAGCAGGCCAAUCAGGACAGGCACAGAUAACUCUGGUAAGUAUAUCCUUUAAAAAUACACCCCACCUCCCAACCCCUACAUAUCGUCU
rnacentral:lncRNA from 1 species